UACGGGUGAGUAACACGUGGGUAAUCUACCUCUUAGUGGGGGAGUAUCUCUGGGAAACCGGAGUUAAUACCGCAUAAGUUCGAGAGAAGAAAGCAGCAAUGCGCUGAGAGAGGAGCCCGCGGCCGAUUAGCUAGUUGGUAAGGUAAAGGCUUACCAAGGCAGAGAUCGGUAGCCGGCCUGAGAGGGCACACGGCCACACUGGCACUGAAACACGGGCCAG
rnacentral:rRNA from 1 species